rnacentral:rRNA from 1 species
UACGAAGGGGGCUAGCGUUGCUCGGAAUCACUGGGCGUAAAGGGUGCGUAGGCGGGUCUUUAAGUCAGGGGUGAAAUCCUGGAGCUCAACUCCAGAACUGCCUUUGAUACUGAGGAUCUUGAGUUCGGGAGAGGUGAGUGGAACUGCGAGUGUAGAGGUGAAAUUCGUAGAUAUUCGCAAGAACACCCGUGGCGAAAGCGGCUCUCUGGGACGGUACUGACGCUGAGACGCGAAAGCGUGGGGAGCAAACAGGG